AUACGUAGGGAGCAAGCGUUGUCCGGAAUUACUGGGCGUAAAGGGUGCGUAGGUGGCCAAGCAAGUCAGAUGUGAAAUCCCCGGGCUUAACUCGGGUGCUGCAUUUGAAACUGCGUGGCUUGAGUGCAGGAGAGGAAAGCGGAACUCCUAGUGUAGCGGUGAAAUGCGUAGAUAUUAGGAGGAACACCAGUGGCGAAGGCGGCUUUCUGGACUGUAACUGACACUGAGGCACGAAAGCGUGGGGAGC
rnacentral:rRNA from 1 species